GAUGAACGCUGGCGGCGUGCCUAACACAUGCAAGUCGAACGAAGCGCUUUGAAGUUUUCGGACAGAGAAGUGACUGAGUGGCGGACGGGUGAGUAACGCGUGGGUAACCUGCCUCAUACAGGGGGAUAACAGUUAGAAAUGACUGCUAAUACCGCAUAAGCGCACAGUAUCGCAUGAUACGGUGUGAAAAACUCCGGUGGUAUGAGAUGGACCUGCGUCUGAUUAGCUAGUUGGUGAGGUAACGGCCCACCAAGGCGACGAUCAGUAGCCGACCUGAGAGGGUGACCGGCCACAUUGGGACUGAGACACGGCCCAAACUCCUACGGGAGCAGCAGUGGGAAUAUUGCACAAUGGGGGAAACCCUGAACGAGCAAUGCCGCGUGAAGGAUGACGGUCCUAUGGAUUGGAAACUUCUGUUGUUAGGGAAGAACGACCUAUGUAGGAAAUGACAUA
rnacentral:rRNA from 1 species